GAGUAUUAAUAGUUAUGAUCUUUAAACUUAAAGAAUUUGGCGGUAUUAUAGUCUAUUUAGAGGAAUCUGUUAUGUAAUCGAUAAUCCACGCUGAACCUUACUUAUAUUAAUUCUUGUAUACCGCUGUUUAAGAAUAUAUUUUUAGAUAAAUUUUCAAAAUAUAGUAAUAAUUAAUAUUUCAAGUCAAGGUGCAGUUAUAUAUAAGUUGAAUAAUGGAUUACAAUAAAUUUUAUUUAUUAUGAAUUAUUACUGUAAAGUAAUUUGAAGGUGGAUUUAAUUGUAAU
rnacentral:rRNA from 1 species